GCCCUCAUAGCUCAACGGAUAGAGCAGUCCCGUCCUAAGGGAAAGAUUGGGGUUCAAUUCCUCGUGAGGGCA
rnacentral:tRNA from 1 species